CUAGAGACAAUCCACAUGUCCACCAGUAGCUGAGUGCCUGAUAUAGUUUGGCUCUGUGUCUCCACCCAAAUCUCAUGUUGGAUUGUAAUCCCCAAUGUUGGGAAAGGAUAUAGUGGGAGGUGAUUAGAUCAUGGGUGUGGAUUUCUUCCUUGCUGUUCUCAUGAUAGUGAGUUCUCACAAGAUCUGGUUGUUGAAAGUGUCUUCUCCCUUCACUCUCUGCUUCCUGCUGCCAUGUGAAGAUGUGCUUGCUUCCCCUUGCCUUCUGCCAUGAUUUUACGUUUCCAGAGGCCUCCUAUGCCAUGGCUCCUGUAUAGCCUGCAGAACUGGACAUGGAUGAAUCUGGAAAACAUCAUCCUCAGCAAACUGACACAAGAACAGAAAAUGAAACACCGCAUAUUCUCACUCAUAGCUCCUAGGCUUGUGCAGCAAGUAUGCAAGACAGCAUUCUAAAACCUGUGAUAGACACUCCACAGUAUAACUUGGUGAGAAUUAAAUUUGAAAGAUCAUUUGAAGAAGCACAGUAUUUAUCAACCCAACAUUAAAGUAUCACUCUGGGAGAUUAUUUCAAAUUACUUUUAUAGCUUCAAAUGAUUUUUAGUAUUAUCAUUGAUAAACCAUCUGAGUUAUAAGUAAAAUAUUUCAAGUUUAGAAAAAAAGACUGUUGAAUAUGUUUUAUUAAAAUUGUAUGUCAUUUUUCACAAUCCAUGCAGGGUUCUUACUGCUCUAAAAGUGCUUUUACAGUUUGUUAGAUAACUAACAUACCAUUUAAAAUAGAUUGAACUCUCUAUUUACUCAAUAUUCCAUAUCAGUUUCAAAUGGUUACGGGUAGUGGUUUAAAGUAGUACCAUACUUUAAAAGUAGCUUUGAUAAAUAUUUACAAGACUGGCUCUAAUGUACCUGACACUAAAGGAUAUAUAUUUGCUGGGGUGGGGGUUAUCUGAGGAAAAAAGCUUUCACUGAAAAUAAGAUAAAGAAUAUAUUGACAAACACAUUAUAACAGAUUGCUAUCUACAUUUUAAUAUCAUAUUUGAUGUUUAAAGAGUUGACCCUCAUUUAGUUCAAAGUUAAAAAUAUUACUUGGACUAAGUGGCUAGAAAAUAGAGCACCAGAAAUAGUAAUCAUCUUUAUUAUCUAGAAAAUACCGGAAUGCCAAAAACCUGUAUACAUUAAAAUAUUGUGUCUAAAAUUUAAAAUAGCAAUUGCAAAACGUUAAGAGAUUUUUAAUGAGGAAAAUCUAUUACUAUACUUAUUAGGUAAAUAGUUCUAAUUUAUGUACCAUUAUGAAAAUAUAUGUUAGAUACAUUGUGAGAAUAUGCAUAUAUAUAAUCAUCAUAAUUAUUUCAAGACUUUUGAGCAACAGUAUCUUUUUUAAGUAAGCUAUAUAUUCAUAUUAAUUCACUGGGCAGUACAAUUACAGGGAAUUUUCUUUUUUGUCUAUCUUUUCUAAAUAUCCUGCACAGAAAAUGUAUCACCCAUAUAAUAAAAUUAUUUAUAUUUAAAUAGACAUGGAUAUAUAAAUGUGCCACUGGCCACUCUUUAAAAACAUUAUUUUUAAAACAUUAACUAUAACUAGUUAAUAUUUCUAAACCAUUAGCUAUAUCUAGUUAAUAAAUAUAUGAUUCAAAUAUUAGUAAGAUUUAUACAUUUUUGUCAGUAACACUUUAAAAUGUCUUCAAAUCUAGAAUGUGUGCUUAUUAGAAUUAACAUCUACAUAUUUUAUAAUUAUUGAUGUACAGUUUUUCUUAAAAAUCAGUUGAUCUAAGCUAAAUAACAGGCAACCAGGAUCCAGAAGUAUUGCCAGGCAGGUGGUGAAUACUAAUAAAGUUUUUGAAAAGAUUUUUAUUAAAAAGCUCAAAUAGGUGAUACUUGAAGAGUAAGCUGGCACAUUUGAACCAAGUAUCUACAUGUGCAAAAUCCAAUUAUACUCGUUCAGAGUUCAGCUGUGCAGUGAAAUGUUUAAGUGAAAGGAUAAGCUCAUCUCCAAGUUGUUGCAUUGCUAUUUGUUUAAAGUUUGCAUUUGCAAAAACUCUUAAGAAUUUAAAUGUCUUUGUUAGCUAUACAUUUUGUUAGAAGACACCUAGACUUUUAAAAUAAACAUUUAAUUAGAAAAGUGUGUGAAGUACUUAGGACAGAAAAUGAAAAACAAACUAACAACAAAACCAUGCCGUUGCUUCCAGGUAGCCCCAGGCCCUUGCAGGAUCCUGCCAUUAGCUGUGUAUCCUUGGAUAGGUCACUUUAUCACCCUGGGUCUCCAUUUCCUCAUCUGUAAAGUGAGACAUUUGGAUUUCAUACUAAAAUUGUUUUCAGUUACAAAAUUCGAUGAUUUGAUAAAUUGUAAGAAAGUUUGUCACUGAAAACUGUUCCUCUACCAGUAAAAUAAAAGCAUGUAAAGUCAUUCUGAAAACCUUGCCUCAGAAAUCUUUUUCUACUUUAUGGUAAUUAGAAUGCACAAUGUAGAUGGUCUUUUUCAGAUUACAUAUUAACUUGAAUGAGAAGAAAAAUAUUAUCCUUAAAGAUUUGUGCAAUUAUUUUAUCAAAUGUUCUAUUUUCCCUCUUGAUGAAGGCAAAUCCAACUACAGUAAGUCGUCUGCCCAGGCUCAUGCACCAUUGGUGAGCAUGCAGUUAUGCUUUCUCAUUCAUCUUAUCCCAUUUAUUUCUCCAACAAUGCAGACUGGAUUAGAAAGGGUGAACAUAACAAGAAUUUGUAAAACAAAGUAAUAAAUCUUUAUAACAAGAAAAAGUUUGUGUUACGUAUGUAACAAACGGUAUUUAUAACUGUAGCUAAGGCCAAACCUGUAUAAGUGUAAAUAUCAAGGAGCUUUUGUCAUAAAGUUUCUGUGAUUUAGAGAAUUUUAAAACUCACAUCUUAAGAAUUUGACAAAAAAAGUUUUAUUUUCAAGCUGUUAUUAAUUACUAGAAUUUUUGUUAAUGUAUUCAAAUCAAGUCCUCCUUGGUAAAAAUCUACCAAAACAAGUUGGAAUACAUAUAUCAGAAACCAUCUUUUUCUUAAAGAUUUCUACUUUCUCAUUAUAUAAUACAUGUUCCUCGCCAAGAGUAGAAAGUAAAGAAGUGUGUAAGAAGAAACUCAAUUAUUCUACUACCAUUUUUGUAAAUAUUUUCCCAUCUUUUUUCAUUUUUUUAGAAACGAAUUUGAAUAGUCUACCUUCUGAAAUAAAGCAUAUUACACAUUAUUAAAAGAAAACAUUUGUAUCAUACUGUACUUAUUUUAUAGCUUGUGUAUAUAUUUAUAACAUUUUUAAUAUUUAAUAGCCUUUAAUUAUAUAUUUUAGCCUUUAAUUAUACAGUUUUUUCCUACGUAUCUAAACAAUCUCUUUUAUAGUUCAGGGAUCAAAACUAUAAUUUGAAUUGAUUUGCUGAAAGUCAAAAUCAUAAGAUGAUGAAGCUGGAGUUCAAACCUAUGCUUAUCUUCACACUCUACAUUCUAAAGGCAACUUUUUACAUUACCUCCAUUUUUAAAAUAUCACUCCAUAAUUUUCCACCAUAUAAAUUUUAAAAUUUAACUAAUUUCCACUUUUGGAAGUUUAGCUUAUCUCAUUUAUUUGUCUCGCAAUGUUUUUAAAAACAUUUUAGGCAUACAUUAUUAUCUCAAUCACUGAUAUUUUCUAAGAAUUCAUUUCUAUGUCAUGUACAUUUACAGUUAUUUAUAUAUAAUUGUCUACCAACUUGCACUGUCACAAAUGAUUUUUGUAUUUCAGAAUUCUGAAUGAUGAUUUCCCCUUACAUGAAAAUUUGUGACUCUACAGGUCAGUAGUUUUAAAGUUAGUCAAAAGUGUAUAAGUAACUUCAAACAUUACACCGUCAAAGUCACAGGUUUAUACUCAAAAAUCAAAAGGCAAGAUUUAACGAUCACACAGGAGUAUGCCGUUUUCUAUGGAAAAUGUAAUUCUGGCUAUUUGGCAGAGAUGCAUUAACACAUUCUUCAAUGAAGCAUGAAUGAAUAUAGAACUUUUACCAUUAAAAUCAAUGAUUAUAGAAAGCAAAACUUUUCAUGAAAGUUUUCCACUCCUACAGGAAAAACUUUUAAUCAAACCAUACACACAAAUACAAACACAAACACAUACCACACACGAGGAAAUGAAUACCAAAAAGCACCAAAACACACCACACGUAGAUCAAAAGAUCCUCAUAGUUACAGAACUAACUCAGUAAAUACCGCUAUCAACAUACAAAACUUACUAUGCUUAAGAAAAUUUCAAAGUUUUUUUUUCCUGAGCAAAGCAUUUACAGUUUCAGAAUUAUAUUGUUUUCAUAGAUCACCCCUGUUAGACCUUCAUUUGCAUUAUAUAGCCAAAGUUGUUGUGGGAAAUGACAUCUUUAUUGUUACUGUAUUUAAAGUUAUCGGUCAGCUUUAAAUCAUAAUUCUGCAAAAUGAAACACUUAACAAACGUAUGAUUUCUCCUUAGAAACUUUAAAACAUGGCAUCGUUUGCAUGCGCAAGUAAAGAAAUGUGGAGUUGCCUAUAAAAAUAUUUUGUCAAAAAUUUUCUAAGUCUAGAGAAUUUUUCUCUCUGUUGCUUGAGUAGUGACCUUGUUCUGUUUUCUCCAACCAUCAGAGUGAGAAGGCUCUACCAGUAUCUUGCCAUAAAGUUCAUUUAAAUUUACUUUGAAAGAUUCUAAGCAUAAAAAAGAUACUGUAUUUCACUUUCAAUGAUAGACUAUGCAUCUAUUGUACCUGCUAGUCAGUUAUAAUGAUGGCAAAUGUAUUAUACUGGGCUCUCUGGGAUUGCAGGGAAGUCUUAUUAUAGCUUUUGCUUAUAUCCAUGGUGUAAAUAAUCCCAUGAUGAUCUUUAUACUGCAUACAAUGUUAGAAAGAGAUGUUCAUGAUCAGAUCCAACAGGAGACAGCUUCAGUUUAUCACUGUUGCUAACCAAAUUACUUACCAGUUAAAAAACCAGCUGGAGGUAUUUAGAGUUUUUAAAGAAAAGCUUAAAAUUAACUGUUACAUAUAGAAAAAAUAUUCGAAAUCAGAUCAAUUAUGUGCUACCUUUCCUAUAGGUCAAGCCUUGCUAUAAACUAAAAUAUUUGAAAUUACUCUAGCAAGUAAUUUUUUAUUCCUUAAAAUCAGGUAUGGCAGCAGCUUAUUUUCCCUCUUACUUUGCCUCUUUUCCUUUCUCGUAGGUCCAUUUAUUUCAACUUCAAACUUCAAAAGUUCUUUACAUUAAAGCAUUCUAAUUUCCAUUUAAUCUGUUACCUUCACUUUGAUGUUGCUUAGUUAAUUAAAAGCAUUUGGAAUCUCAGUGCUAUGGAAUGUGAUUAGGAAUGUCAUAUUUCUUAAGGUUAUUUUGUUAACAUUUUACACACUGAAUUUUGAUCAAGUAGUAGAUAAUAUUUUGUUUAUCCAUCUGAUUCUAUGGUAAUUGUCAUAAAAAUAUAGCUCUAAUUUAAAUUAAUAAUUGAUCUAGCAAUCGGAAAACUAGCAAAUCAUUUUAUUUAAUUAGAUCCUUUCAUUACAACUGAUGUGAAGAAAUUUUAAAAUAUGCUUCAUAUUUCAGGAAAUGUUAAGACACUUUGUCUAUUGACUUGCUACUAGAGGAUGAUAGACUGGGGAAGGGUAACUUCAGUGUGAAACUUCUAUGUAAAAUGUGUUGCUGUAUUCUCUGAGAUCCCAUCCAUACAUAAUAGAUUAUUUUAAUCCUAUGCCCCUUUUUCAUUUUGUUCUAAACAAGGAGGCUGGUGUCACUAGGUUACUGCAGUUUAAGACAGACUGCCUUUGUCCAACCUUUCCCUGCUUGUCAAGUGAAUAGUAAAUAAUUGGACAGUAGUCUUUGUGAUGAAAAUAAUCUUCCAAAAUGUUUUCCUCCACAAGUUAUCGAAAUAUGUUUCUGAAACUUAAGUAAGCUAAUAUCUCUAGGAUAAUGUAUCUUAGCUACAUGAAAUAAAGUGCUAUGGCAUGUGAUUAGGAAUGUCUUAUUUCUAAAGGUUAUUUUGUUAACAUUUUGCACAUUGAAUUUUGAUCAAGUAGGAGCCAAUAAUAUCUUGUUUAUCUAUCUGAUCAUAGGGUAAUUGUCAUAAAAAUAUAAUGGAAUUAUAAUUUAUAAUUAUAAGUUAUAAUUUAUAAUGAAAUUUUAAGUUUGUUAACUGUUUCAUAUUACAGAAUUAAGAAUUAAAGCUGACCAAUAAUCUUAAAUUCAGUAGCAAUAAAGAUGUCAUUUCCAACAA